rnacentral:sRNA from 1 species
GUGACUAACUUCCUGUGGCUUUGGGGUAGACAUGUUAGACUCCUCGUGUGGGUAUUGGGCCUCUGCAGUUGAGUCCAUGAGAAGGGGUGGGUGUGGUAUGGUGUGGAGCCUUGGGAAAGGGUGAGUGGGGGCUGGAGGGAGAGUUAACGAAUGGUCAGUCCCUGUAUGAUCAGCCAGCUGGCGGGUGGGGGAGGAGCUGAUGUUUUCCUACAAUCAGCACCCAGAAAGCUGUUCUCUAGAGGGAAAAUGUGAGGGCAUUUUACAGUCCCAUGUAUUGUUACUAACACUCUUGAACACUGGUUUCCUGAGAGUCACUGCUACAAAGGGAUUGUUGGUCCCCUAAGAGACUGGCAGUCUCUAUAGGGCCGCUGAUUUAUGACUGCGGCAGUCUCUAUAGAGCCGCUGAUUUAUGACUGCAACCUGAAGUUGGCGUGGCAGUCCUCCUCUUUGCCCACCUGAUUGGCAGGGGGCAGUGGCUUGAAGAGAUGGGUUGCUAAGCAGCCUGGCCUGGACGUGGUGCCCUGCCAGGUUGAAUGAAUAGCUGCAGUGUUCUGAGGAAUGGGGAAUUUGGCCUGUCCCAGCAUCAGGAGGGACUUUCUGGAAAGGGGGCUAAGACUGAGUCUAGGCUCAGUGUAGGGAACUGGGUGGGCUUCCUGGCACCUUCCUUUUGGAGCCGUGGUGUGGUGUGCCAUGUCUGUGUAAGUGGAGCCUGCGGAGCUCUGCACCUGUCCUCGAAAAGGUCUUGUUGCAGGGUCUUCCUGUCUCAUCUCCUCCCUCGCUCAUCAGCGGGAAAAGACAUGGGGUCCGACAGCUUGCUGUCAACUCUGCUUCUGCUGUUUUGAUGAUUAGCGCAUGUGGCCCUUGAGAUUGUUGAUCUAACUGGGUUUGAGGGGCUGGGUGUCAGCAACCCAGAAAUGGGGGAAACAGGUGUGUUCUUGCCAUUUUACACUUGAGACAGUGGAGGCAAGGGAAGACUUGUGACAGAGGGCUUGGACCGUGGCUUUCUCACCGUUGAUUUUGGUUUAGAUGAAACAUUUCCUACGAAACAGUGAAAUCCAGAAAACGUCUAAGAAGCCUUUGCUCUCAGGUUUCUGCAGGACAUGUGGAUGUAGCUGUCAUGGGACGCUGUUUGCAUUAGGGAUUGGAGGAAGCUUUUCUUUGGAGGGAGUAUAAAGCCAGUGUAGAGGGAGCUGAGAGCCAGAGAGAAGCUUCCUUGAGCUUGGGGUCUCUCUGGGAUCCCCAUUCUGCUGCUUAUUAAAGGUUCGCUGCAUGCUUGCUCUGAGGUUCCAUGAGCUGCCCCUUUAUCCUCAUGAUGAAGCCUCCCUUCUUUGAACUAAAAAUAAGAAGAGUAUCUUGUGAGCAGCUAGUCUGCAUUUUCAUCUCGGGAGUCUGCUGUUACAAAGCAGUCACCUCUUGCUUCCUUGGUACCAGCGGUAGAGGUGGUGAUGUCUGGGCUGGCUGGGCCCUUGAGCUCUGCACUCCAUUCAGGCAAGCUUCCUCAGACCCAGGGGAGAGCAAUAGGCAGGGUAUACGUUGCCCAGGUGGCCGCAGCAGGCUUGCUGGCGUGUGUUCUCCUAAGUGAUGGUGGGUUUGGUCACUGAAAAGGCAUGGAGGAGAGACAGGCGUGGGGCUCGGGAGCAUCCGGCUGCUGCAAUGUGGGAAGAAGAGGGUUCGGAGGCUCGGGGGUGCCAGAGGCCCCUGAAGCAUCAGCUUACCCUUAGUGUUCCUGGCGGUGCUUUUAUUUUUUCUCCUUCCUUAAAAAUCCUGAGUGGUCUCAAUGGAGAGUAGCUGGCUCAGGAGCCCCAGUCUUACCUCCUCGUAUUUGUUUCUCUUUUGCAGGAUAAUACAGAAGCAGAAAAGCGAGACCCCCAGGAACUCGUGGCCUCCUUUUCUGAAAGAGUUCGGAACAUGUCGCCUGAUGAAAUCAAGAUCCCGCCAGAACCCCCUGGCAGAUGUUCAAAUCACUUGCAAGACAAGAUCCAGAAGCUUUAUGAACGAAAGAUAAAGGAGGGAAUGGAUAUGAACUACAUUAUCCAAAGGAAGAAAGAAUUUCGGAACCCUAGCAUCUACGAGAAGCUGAUCCAGUUCUGUGCCAUUGACGAGCUUGGCACCAACUACCCAAAGGAUAUGUUUGAUCCCCAUGGCUGGUCUGAGGACUCCUACUAUGAGGCAUUAGCCAAGGCCCAGAAGAUUGAGAUGGACAAAUUGGAAAAGGCCAAAAAGGAGCGAACGAAAAUUGAGUUUGUGACGGGCACCAAGAAAGGCACCACGACCAACGCCACAUCCACCACCACUACCACUGCUAGCACAGCUGUUGCAGAUGCUCAGAAGAGAAAGAGCAAGUGGGACUCGGCUAUCCCAGUGACAACGAUAGCCCAGCCCACCAUCCUCACCACCACGGCCACCCUGCCAGCUGUCGUCACGGUCACCACCAGCGCCAGCGGCUCCAAGACCACCGUCAUCUCUGCUGUGGGCACCAUUGUGAAGAAGGCCAAGCAGUGACCUGAGGGGCCACCCUAGGACUUGAAAGGACCGUGCCGCCCAGUGACCACUGCCCAGUGGGAGGCGCCACUUUGUAUAUUUCAGGACUGGGACCUGCUCCCCAGAUGCCACCUGAGAGGAGCUUCUGUGUGGCAUUCCAGAUGGAAGGACAGGCAGCGCGGGAGCCAGGCACUGUGGACAGGGUCUGUCCACGCACCACCUGGGGUCUGCCGCCUAUUAAAAGUGCCAUAUUCUUACCUCUUGGCAUUUCAGA